UUCAAAUUUUUCUAGAAAAAAAUAUUCUUAGUUUAAAAAGUUGUAAAGUCACACAUUUUCAACUUAAGGAGUUCAUAAAUGUUAUUUUUUCUAGAAAAGUUUUGAAAUUAAUCCCAAAAUUUCAAAGUUUUUUGUGCAGUAAUUCAUCCCCAUUUGUGCGCAUGAGACCAUAUUUACCUUCGAUUAGCUCGUUUUCUCAUUAUUACCUUCUGUUUUUAUCUCACAUUGUUAUGUAAGAAAAUGCUCAAGAAAUAAAGACUGAUUGAUUAAUUGUGAUUUUUACCAUGUCGUUCGUUUCUUUGCACAACCAACAACAACAACAACAAAAAAUCUCUGCUCGGGCUUUUUUGUGAAAGAUUACAACCGGAAGUCGUGGUUUAUCGCCGGUCAGUUUGACAGCCGUGGCCGCCGGUGAUCAUCCACGGUUUCUCCGGGACAGACUCCGACCUCGCAGCUCCUCCGGGACACGUCCGACCGGCCUCGGGGCUCGCUCUGGCUCUGUGGACCCCCCGCGGUCCUCCACCUGUCCCGGCGUCCUCCUCCGCUCCGACCAGCUCCCAGUCUGCGGAGUUAGCAGCUUUUAGCAUCUGCAGGCAGCGUCUCCUCUGGCUGUUUUUACGUCUGCUCCUCUGACCAGGAGGUUUCGGCUCCGGCUCUGGAGGCUUUGGACCCGGAGAAUAAACAGACGCAUUUACAUUCAGACGGCGUGGCUGGCUGCUGGAAGGCUGCGGAGCCUGAAUGACCUGCAGCCGCAGCUGCAGCAGCAGCAGCAGAUCUACUGGUGCCACACGGAGGUUUUCUGGAAAAGCCGACCUUCAGCAUUCCUGGAAAGAUUCACAAACACCCACAUGGAUGUCUGAUAAUCGAUCUCCUGACUUUACUGGAAGGGAUCUGGAGAUUCAACAGCGACUGGUUACUGGUAGACCUGCGUCUGUACAGGCGAGUUAGGCAAAGUGGACACUCAGAUUUCUAACAUCACCGCUGCUCAGUGAACACCAGGCACAGCUGGAGAAAACAAUUAAAUUAGUGCAUCAAAUGCAGCUUAGCACACAUAAAACCAGACGCACGGAGUCCCGCUGAAGGACAGAUGCUGCCCCCACCCCGCCUCGCAUCAUCCUCUCAAAUCCAGCCGCAGGGAAGAUGAGAUUUGGAUCCGACCGAUUUGUUCGCUCACUCGCUGCUUCGUUCCUGACCAAAACGUCGGAAGCGUCGCUGUGAGGCGCCGCUGCAGUGAGCAUGAUCUACUGCUACCGCUGUGCUUUCCAGUUUUUCCCCCCAUGGGGACAAAGAUGAAGAGAAUCUGAACUACUUUGGAUCUUAUGUGAGGAGAUUUAAGCUAAAAAAAAUACUCAAAAAUAUCAGUGUCGAGGCGUGUAGAGAACCCAAAAAUUGUACCCAAAUAAGAGUAAAACGUACAAAGUAUCCGCCCAAGACAUUACGCAAGUAAAAGUAAAUAAAGUAUCUGGUAAAAAGUCUGCUUAGGUACUGAGAAACCCAUAAAAAUAAUUUAAUGUAAAGAAGAUCAUCAUCAUACAGACCAAGUGGAAAUUUUGGUAUUGUAAAAAUCAAAAUAUCAAUAAUUCAUAUAAAUAAUUACAAAAUCAGGUGGAAGAAACAUUUUAUGUUUAAUAUAAAACUUAUAAACUGCAGGUCUGUAUCUGGUAAAUUUUUUAUUAAAACAAACUUGCUCUUCAUCCAGUCAGAGUCCAGAUAUUUUACUCAAGUAAAAGUAAAAAGUAGCAGUCAAAAAAAUAACUGAAGAGUAAAAAAUGGUAAAAUGUUACCAAAUAACUGAUUUACAUAAUCAAACGGAUCAAAAAUAUUCUGCUAUUUUAGAGCUAAAAGGGAAAAUAAUUAGUAUAAAUAACAUAAUAUUUUGAACCUUAUAAAUCUUUAACAAAAACUGCAGUCGUGUACUUUGUGUUUUUUAUUUUUUAGUCUAAUAAAAAAACUCGUUUUUUGGUUUAAACGAGCUUCUUUUUCAUUCGGUGAAGUUACUUUCGGUGGGUAAAGUAUCCAGAUAUUUCACUCAAGUAAGCGUGGUGAUAAUUCAUAAUAAAGUUACUAAAAAUAAAAGCAAAAAUAAAGCGUAGUAAAAGUAGUUUUUUCCAAAAAGUUAAGUAAAUGUAUCACAACUGAAUUGUGAAUUGUCAUGUAGCUAAUAAAACUGCAUUUGACUUGACUCUGUUAAUCAGUUUUUCAAAGUAAGGAGUAAAAAAACAAGAAAGCAGUUGAAGAAGAGGAGGCUGGUUUUGUUAUCCGUGAGGAAGGCCCUCCUCCCCUCCGCUGCUCCUCCCUCUCUCCUCUGAUCCAGCAGCUCUCCUUUGCUCCAGUGCAGAGACGAAGCGCAGCGGAGCGCAGCAUGCGGCCCGGACAGACUCUCUGCAUCCGUCCGCCGGCUCUCCCUGCAGCCGCACGCUGCCGGUAAUCCCGCACCGCAGCGCACCGCGGGAUGAAGACUGAAACCCGAGCGAGUUUAAACCGGAAAUAAACGAGUGGAUGAAGGAUAAAGCCGCGUCUGGACGGACUUUGGAGGCAGUCGGGUUGCAGCUGCCUGAGAUUCAGCGGAGACGGAGCAUCUGUGAGCGCGUGCCUGUCGGCAGUGGCGGAUUUUGAUAUGGGCGCUUGCCCAAGGCGGCAUCAGAAAGGGGCGGCACAACCAAGAACUUGAGAAUAUAAUAUCUUAUCCAUCAGUAGUCCCCGAGAAACGGCUUCUAUGUCUGUUUAGUGGCACUAGCUUCCCUUAGGCGGUACAUUAUCUGCUUUCUGAUUUAACAACAAAAAA